UAACAAUAUUCUCCACUUGUCUGAAAACAUUAUAUAUGAAAACAUGUUAUAUACUUAAAUAAAUAUUUUAUGUAAACAAAUCCAUGUCUUUUAGUGUUGUUUCAGCUUGAUCUCAAACACAAAACAUUUACACAAAGAUCACCUACCUGCUCACUAUAUCAGCCAUGUUGCCUUAAGGAUAAGGUACAGCAUGGAAGAGACUUGCCUGGAAGCAAACUAAUAACACUUAAAAUUUUAUAUACAGAAUUAAGAGUUCCAUAAAUCCAGCAAAUUCCUUGAAAAUAUGUUGGACUUUUAUUGUAAAGUAUUACUCUCUCCUAGCCAGCAAUUAAAAAGAUUUUCUGUGUUAGGAUAUACUCCACAGUGGAUAUAGCAGCAAAAGGUGAUCUUCAACUGCUAUCCAAUGCUGCCCAAGUCAUGUAUCCUUUUAUUUGCGGUUACUGGCAUCAAAUUUCCAUUAGUGCCAUUGGUAGUGUUGGUGGCUGAGCCAUUCACAACAAUAUAGUCGACAUUGUUCUCCAGCUUCACCAAGCAUUGCAAAAUGUCAUCCAAAAGGACAGAAAUUGUUCUUUUCAGAUCAGCAUAUCCUGCCAUAGAAGCACCAUUCUCAACAUUCACUGUGUUCUUAUUUUCCUCUGCAAGAGCUUUCACAUAUCUUUUGCUUAAAUUUAGUGUUUGUUCAAGUAACUUGACACUGCUUUGAUGUCUUGGUUGCUGGAAAGUAUAGUGCAGUAACAUCACUCCCCAAAUGAGUCCAAACACAAGAGAUAAUGAACUCAAUUUCUGGGACAUAUUUUUUUCUUGAGAUUGUAAAAAACAUUUCUGAUGAAAUAAACAAGCUUGAUUGUAAAGCAGUAACUGGAGACAAGCUCCCAAACAAAACUUUUGAAGGAAAAAAGAAAAAAUUUCUCUAAUAUAUAUUCUUCAUCUUUGGCAAGGUUGCUCCACUCUUACAUUAACUCUGUGGGCUUCUAGUCAUGGUGGACACUGCCACAGGACUCCCGAGCCCGAGAGGUGCAACCAAAGCAGAGAAGCGGGCAUCAGUGGCAUCUCACCCUCGAGAAGCAGCCUGCUGGUCAGGAGGAAAUUACCUCCUCUUGUGGAUCAAUGCUGCAGAUCCUCUUGCUCCCAGCUAGCAGAAAUCAGAGAGAAAAAUCUUUUAUGUCAAGCGUGGAAUGAAAGUCCUUCUGACUGGUCAGACCAAGCCAACCCAGGUCACAUGCCUGCCCAUAAGCCAGUAGGAGCCACCAGGAGAAAUCCAUCUAUGGAUGGCACAAGAUCCAUCUGUGGAA
rnacentral:lncRNA from 1 species